GGGCCUGUAGCUCAGUUGGUUAGAGCGCUCGACUCAUAAUCGAAUGGUCGUAGGUUCAAAUCCUACCAGGCCCA
rnacentral:tRNA from 1 species